rnacentral:rRNA from 1 species
GAUGAACGCUGGCGGCGUGCCUAAUACAUGCAAGUCGAGCGGUAAGGCUUUCACUCUGUAUUUAAUGAGUUGAAUAUAGUGUGAAAGUACACGAGCGGCGGACGGCUGAGUAACGCGUAGGAACGUACCCCAAAGUGAGGGAUAAGCACCGGAAACGGUGUCUAAUACCGCAUGUGAUCUUCGGAUUAAAGCUUUAUGCGCUUUGGGAGCGGCCUGCGUAAGAUUAGUUUGUUGGUGAGGUAAUGGCUCACCAAGACUACGAUCCUUAGCUGGUCUGAGAGGAUGAUCAGCCAGACUGGGACUGAGACACGGCCCAGACUCCUACGGGAGGCAGCAGUAGGGAAUUUUCCACAAUGGACGAAAGUCUGAUGGAGCAACGCCGCGUGCAGGAUGAAGGCC